rnacentral:lncRNA from 1 species
GAAAGAAUGUGGAAACUAGAAAACCACAGCUAUAACCAACUGCUGCUGCUAAGAAUGGGACUGUUUCAAGGGAAGGCUCCUUACAGUGAAGAAAAGGGUCAAAUCCAAUUAAAAUUGCAAAGGAAACUUCGCGAGGACGAAUGCCAUUAGCCCAAACUGGAAUGUGGCCAAAACACGGGGUAAUACUUCAACUCUUAGAAAAAGUGCCAGGGGGAUAUUUAACAACUGCAGGUGGCCAAAUGCUUUCUCAUAAGUCUCAUCAGAAACGUCAUUUAUAGCAACAGUAUUCACCAAGUUACCAGAGGUGAAUUAAAUAGUUUGGAAAGAGGCCUAGAAAAUUUUUGUUUUUAAAAUGAAAGGUGAAAUCUGAAAAUGUCUGAGAGGCUACAAAAUAACAGGAGAAUGUCCUGGCAUAAGGGUUGGAAUUACAAGUCAGACAGGGCUGAGCAGCAAUCUUCAAGAAAAUUGCUCUAAAUUGGCCUUCAUUAGCU